GACGAACGCUGGCGGCGUGCUUAACACAUGCAAGUCGAACGGGUCUGCCCUGUUUUUUGCGGGGUGGGUCAGUGGCGAACGGGUGAGUAACACGUGAGUAACCUUCCCCUCACUUCUGGAUAACCGCUUGAAAGGGUGGCUAAUACGGGGUGGUCUUGCUGUGCCUCAUGGUGUGGGUGUGAAAGUUGCUCGUUUGUGGGGUUUUGGUGGGGGAUGGGCUCGCGGCCUAGCAGGUUGUUGGGGGGGUGAUGCCCUGCCAGGGCUAUGACGGGUGGCCGGCAUGGGGGGGUGGGCGAGCUGACUGGGGAGGAGGUGCGGCCCAGCUUGGUGCGGGACGCAGCAGUGGGUGGUACUGGACGAUGCACGGGAGAAUGAUGCAGCGACGUCGCGUGAGGGAUGGAGGCCUUCGGGUUGUGAGCCUCUUUCGCCGGUGAAGAAAGUCCUGCUUUUCGUGGUGGGGUUGACGGGAGCCGGGUGAAGAAGCGCCGGCUAACUACGUG
rnacentral:rRNA from 1 species